CUGCAAGCCUGCAACCAAUCCCCAAUAUACUCCCAAGAGAAAAAUAAGCUUCCAGUUCAAAGAGCGAGAUGGAGACCUGCAAAAGCAAAGCGUCGUCCGCCUGCCUUUCCCACCGCCCUUUCUCUGAUCUCCUCCAUUUACUGCCGUCUUCAGCACCGCCUUUCCCACCACCUUUUCGCUGAUCUCCUCCAUUUGUUGUCGUCUUUCCCACCGCCUUUCCCACCCCCUACAAACCUCCCGUAGACGACGUUUGUUCCGCCGCUUCCGUCAAUUAUGAGUUGAGUUGUGUUGGUACUGUUUGCUUUACAUGCUGCAGUCUAGUUCGAUUAGAAGAAGGGGCAUACAUCAAAUUAGCAAUAGCAGAGCUCCUACCAUUACGGUUUCCAUGAGGAUGGUUUCAAGGCUUUAUUAAUGCCAUAUGACCACAAAAAUACUACCCCAGAUGGAGCUUCUUCAGCUAAAAUGAAAGCAUUGGUGAAUGAUUUGAAUUAUCGGCACUUCCAAGGUCACUGCAUGACUGGUUCUUGGGGGAGGCUCCGUUGGGUUAUUCAUCUAACUAAUAAAGCUAAGAAUAAUAACAUUGGUUAUUAUCUGCAGUUCUUAUAAAGGUAUUGCUGUAUUUAAUUUACAACUCACUUCAAAAAUCCUUUUUUUUAUAGGUAUCUAGCACACGGUACUGCAACAGACUACAUUUAUGAGAUUGCAAAAGUUCCCAUGGCUUUCACUUUUGAGAUUUAUGGAGAUGAAUCAGCUCCAGUAAAAGACUACUUCAGAAUGUUUAAUCCAACAGAUCAAACCACUUUUAAGAGAGUUCUUAUUUCUUAAUGACUGGUUCGCUGCAUUCUUCACACUAUUCAAGUUUGGGCCACAAUUGCUGGGUAUGGAAAACUCGAAUGAAUCAGUAAAGUUGAUAUCGAUGGAUGAUUAUUUAGAUGGAUACCUGACGAGUAGACGGAGUCGAUAUGGAAAGAAAUUGGAGAUAUGUAAUCAGUACUGCAUUCAAAAGGCCAAACAGAAGUGCACAUUUUGGUUCCGCUUGAGCUUUCUCUGACGGUCAUGGCUAGGAAAUUUAACCAAGAGAAGAUAAUUUAUCGCAAAUUUCCUCCCUUUACAGAAAGGACUGCUCUAAUUACCUAUUCACCGUUCACGUUCUGUUCCAGUUCUUAUCAAAGAUGGUAGUGUAAGGCAGGUGGAUUUUUUGGAGGGAUAUUUCGUAUAAUACCAACAACUCCACGUGUUAAAGAUGGACCCUUGAUAGAGUCAGGUGCAAGUGCAACUGAUGCUGAGGAAGUUGAUGAUAACGGUGAAGACAUUCCUGAAGAAGAAGUUGUUUGCAGAAUUUUCUUUGUGGAGCUGAUGGAAGGCUCAGAGACGCUCAAGUUGGAAUGUAGCUGCAAAGGUGAACUUGCUUUGGCUCACCAAGAAUGUGCUGUUAAAUGGUUUAGCAUCAAAGGAAACAAGAUAUGUGAUGUAUGCCAGCAAGAGGUUAAAAGCCUACCUGUUACACUUUUGCGAAUUCAUAAUGCUCAGGCUCAACAAGAAAGUAAUGGACAGCAGGCUGACUUGGCUGGUUUCAGGCAAGGUUUGGCAAGAUGUCCCUGUACUUGUUAUUGUAAGCAUGCUUGCUUACUUUUGUUUCCUUGAACAGCUUUUGAAAGGAAUGCUCCAAUUAAUUACUUGUUCACCGUUCACAUUUUGUUCCAGUUCUUAUCAAAGAUGGUAGUGCAGGGAAUGGUUGAUACUCUUCACAAGCAGGUCCGCAGGGAGUAAGAGAGAGAAAAAGCGGGAAAAAGAAAACCGAAGGGAGUAAGGCAUGGUUGAACUCUUCGCACGAGCGGUUUUGCUUAUUCUAGUCCAGAAUCCUGACUAUUAAGACAUCAGGCUAUGUAAAUUCUAGUGCCGCUGCAUUGCUGAUGUUUAUUUGGCUAAUAAACUACUCAUGGUUGCCUUUGCUUUUAAGGGAUGCGUGCACUAGAAGAAGCUAUUGUGUAGUUGAGGCCAUAGAAGAAGAUUAAGUAGAGCGACAAGUUGUUUUGAAGCUGAUAUUCAGGCAACGGUUUCCAUGAAGUUGAUGUUCGAAAGAAGGUGUUUACUAUAGCAACACUAGUCUGGUUUUAAGCUCAUAGUUUAUUGGGUGAGCAGUAGGUUAGUUGUACUAGGUUAGAAGUUAAAGGGUAUGGAAUAUAUUGUAGGUAUAAAGGGUAUGGAAUAUAUGUUGCAGGUAUAAAAAGGGUAUGGGAAUAGAAUGUUGUAAUACGUUAUUGUUGGUUAGUUUAGUCUUUGUUUUAGUGCAAUAACUAUUUUUUUAAGGGAACUUAAUUAGUAUCAUUCCGAAGGUUGCAACUUGUACAAACGUUAUUUUUUUAUUUACAUAUUUAAUGCUUAUUUAUCUAAUAAAAUAA